UACGUAGGUGGCAAGCGUUGUCCGGAUUUACUGGGCGUAAAGAGCUCGUAGGCGGUUUGUCGCGUCUGCCGUGAAAGUCCGGGGCUCAACUCCGGAUCUGCGGUGGGUACGGGCAGACUAGAGUGAUGUAGGGGAGACUGGAAUUCCUGGUGUAGCGGUGAAAUGCGCAGAUAUCAAGGAGGAACACCGGUGGCGAAGGCGGGUCUCGUGGGCCGAAAUUGACGCUGAGGAGCGAAAGCGUGGGGAGCGAACAGG
rnacentral:rRNA from 1 species